CCUCAACGCCGCCGCCGCUCUCCUUCUCGAGUCUCGACUCCUCCAAGCCCGCAGCCACCCGUCGCGGCGACGCACGCCGCCCGCCGGCGCACGCCCGUUCUCCAACUCCAGCCGCCGCAGCCCCCCAAAAUACCAUAUCGCGUCAGCACCCGAGCGAGCGCCGACGACCUCCGGCCGGCGUCGGGUCCACCUCACUAGCGGAGACCGCGGUCCGAGCACCACCACCACCUCCGGGCCCAGCCGCAGCCGCCCAGAGGCAGAACCCACGCCGCGAGAAGACCAUGUGGCGCCGCGGAGCCGGACUGCUCCGUCGCCACCUCGCCGCCGCCUGUUCCCGUCGCGUGCGGCGACCCCCGGCGCCCCUUGUACCCGCCGCCCCAUCUUCCUCUACCCCCUCUUCCUCCUGCCGCCAGAUUCUUGGAAUCUUCCGGGGUUCCAUCGGGGCGCCCUCUCGGUGCCUGUCGAACCAGGCGGGCGGCAGCGGUGCCUGCUGGAGCUGCGGCGCGACGGGGGCGUUCCUAUCGUGCGGGUCCUGCGGGAGCGUGCAGCCCGUCGACCCCUCCGUCGACUACUUCCAAAUCUUUGGCCUAAAAAGAGAAUACAACAUAAAGGAUAAUAACUUGGAAGGGAGGUACAAGGAGUGGCAGAAGAAGUUACAUCCCGACCUGGUUCACUCGAAGUCUGAGAAAGAGAGAGGCUAUGCUGCAGAGCAAUCAGCGCUUGUUAUUGAUGCGUAUCGCACACUUAGCAAACCUUUAUCAAGGGCAUUAUACUUGUUAAAACUUGAGGGAAUACAUGUUGAUGAAGAAAAAACUAUCAAUGACCCAGAACUUCUUAUGGAGAUGAUGGAGAUACGUGAAGCUGUGAAUGAUGCCAGUGAUUCUCAAACGCUGGAGAAGAUCCAAUCUCAGGUUAAGAAAAAGCUCGAAAUCUGGUCUCAUUCCUUCCAGGAUGCAUUUGACAAGAAGGAUUUUGACCGUGCCAUAGAAGCAACACAGAGGAUGAGGUACUAUGAACGUGCAGUGGAAGAAACAGUGAAGAAGCUCUGAUCUUGAAUUACAAUUGUCAAAGAUGGGGAGGCAUGGAAAUUUUUCGUACAUUCCUCGCACCUCCACUCUGAGAAGAGCAUAUAUUGUGAUACUGUCUUCAUGGGAAGAUUGAUACAGAGCUAAAGGAAAAUGCUAAGUGCUGGACAACAAGCUGUCAACAUAGCAGAACUACAAAAAGGACAGAAUUCCAUAUACUGUGCUUUGUCCAAACUAAUCCUUCACCUGACGGUGCGCACUUCAAGGAUCCGUAGGACCAAGGCUUUGAAGACACCCCUGAGCAGCAGAAGUGCUUUGAGGAAGACAAGCAGUCAUUGAUCAUAUUCCGGUCCAAUUAAUUUUCAAUAUAAACAUAUUUACUUUAUAUGCAUGCAUGAGUCUAUAAUUUAAUGGAUCCCAAACUAAGGACAUGUCUAGUUUCAAUUGUACUUUCUUGUUUAAACCUGGGUUGUUUACUUUACGUUGUAGCUAUGCUAGUUGCUCAUCUACUUAGACUUUGGUUGGUUAACUUGGAAACAAUGGUACACUUGUUUUACUUCAUGUUCCGGAAUAUUUAAUGGUGAUAAUUAUAAGUUCACUAUUUUAAUUCGAACACGGAGAACCACCUAGGGCAACCACAAUACUACAUGGCUCUGAUCUUGGCUAAUUAAUUAGAAACUUUAGCUUAUGAUAAUCUUACCGAAAGGACAAGAGGGGUUGCAUCGUCGGGGUAUAGCUCGGUCCUCUUGAGGUUAUGAUAUGGUUCUGGUUAAGACGUCUUUCUCGUUAAGGAAAGUUAUGACCACUUUGACUUGAAACCUUAGCAGAUUAUCAUAAGUUAGGAAAUCUUAUAAAGACCUCAUAGUGAAUCUCUGCCACUCACCUCGGAAGUGUUUAAGAGCCUUGCAAACCCAGGCAUCAAGGGAAACACAAGUUGUGGGUAAAGUGUACAACCUCUGCAGAGUGAAAAUUGAUAUAUCAGC